GACGUAGGGCGCGAGCGUUGUCCGGAUUUAUUGGGCGUAAAGAGCUCGUAGGCGGCUCAUUGCGUCAACCGUGAAAUCCUGCUGCUCAACGGCAGGUCUGCGGUUGAUACGGGUGGGCUGGAGUUCGGUAGGGGAGACUGGAAUUCCUGGUGUAGCGGUGAAAUGCGCAGAUAUCAGGAAGAACACCUGAGGCGAAGGCGGGUUGCUGGGCCGACACUGACGCUGAGGCGCGGAAAAGCCAGGGGGAGCGAAACGGGG
rnacentral:rRNA from 1 species